GCCGCGAACGAGCGUUUGAUGAAAGACUAUUUUGACGCGGCACCGGUUCACGGACCGAAUGUUUUUAGACGACGUUUUCGGACGAGCCAAAGGUUAUUUUUGCGCAUUAAUAAUGACUUGGAAAAUACGUACGAUUUCUUUAAGCAAAGAAUGGACGCACGAGGAUAUCUAGGCUUCACCUCAAUUCAAAAGGUCACAUCCGCCUUACGCGUAUUAUCAUACGGAAACACGUACGACAUCAACGACGAGUAUUUGAAGAUGGCGGAGAAAACAACCCGAGAUACCUUGAAACAUUUUUGCUAUGGAAUAUGCCAGUUAUAUGGAAAACGUUAUUUGAGAAACCCCACUUGGAACGACCUUCAAAAAAUAUAUGAGGUGCAUCUAGAAAAGCAUGGAAUACCCGGCAUGAUUGGUAG
rnacentral:lncRNA from 1 species